GACGAACGCUGGCGGCGUGCUUAACACAUGCAAGUCGAGCGGUAAGGCCCUUUCGGGGGUACACGAGCGGCGAACGGGUGAGUAACACGUGGGUGACCUGCCCUCAGCUCUGGGAUAAGCCUGGGAAACCGGGUCUAAUACUGGAUAUGACUCCAUGACGCAUGUUGUGGGGUGGAAAGCCUUGUGCGGCUGAGGAUGGGCCCNGGCCUAUCAGCUUGUUGGUGGGGUGAGGGCCUACCAAGGCGACGACGGGUAGCCGGCCUGAGAGGGCGACCGGCCACACUGGGACUGAGACAC
rnacentral:rRNA from 1 species